ensembl:lncRNA
ACUCUGAAGUGUGUAUGACAUAAAACAGGCCACGGCUGCUGUAACCAGCUCAGCAAGAUGAAGAUGCUGCGGCACAAAUCGCCAAAGUCACGUUGAUUCCCUUUUGAUUGUGUGCAGUUGUUCUUUACUGGUGGGGUAAAAGGGUCUCUGUGGGUCCUAAAGAAACCCCACGAGCGCUGCCGUCACCCGGGGCAGAAACAGCGCAGGGGUCCCUGAUAUCUCCCGUCCCGGGCCGGGUCUGAGGAGUGCGUUCGAACCCCCCGACCCCACGUUUCCACCCGCUCUCAGCAGGAGGUUCAGAGGAGAGUCUGGAUUCACAGAGAACAAAAGCGGAAUUAGUGGCUCUUUUGUUUUUGUGGUCUCGUGUCUGUCUGGCGUGAGCUCCUUGGGCGAUCGGCAGACAUCGAUUCCUGCUGUUUUUGUUGGUUUAUAUGCGAGGAACGUGCUGUUGUUCUCGUUGACUGAUGUCUGGAGGAUAUGAGACUCUCUCGAGACGGUUCAAGGGGAGAAUAGUUUUGAUAUUCAUUUUUCCUGCUUGCUUUACAUUUAGUUGCCCUGUAGCAAACAUCUCUUAAUGAGAUAAACAGGUCACUGCUGGCACUUUGGGUGAAUCUCACCAAACCUGUCGAGGACACGUCCGGUGCGGUGAAUCUCAUCGUCUGAGGCUCACAGUGCUGUAAAUCAGACUGAUCUGACUGAGGCUCUUCCUCUAUACUCAUGGAGUAACAGUGUCCAGACUGAGCAGUAAAGCUCCUGAUAAAGAUACGUGUGUGUGUGUAUACGUCUGUGUGAGAUCUCAAGACUGAUACACUGAUGAGGAGAGCAUGUUGAAAUGCAUCAGGUCUGCAGUCGACACACUUCCCUGGGAAACAUCCGUGUUAUCAGAUGAGGCUGAUGGGCGGCAGUCUAGGGUUACUUGAAAAUAAUCCCGUCCUUACUUCAGGAGCGGCACAUGAUCAGGUCGGGAACGCUGGGAAAGAGAGCAAUGCUUACAGAGGCUCUGCUUAUUGAGUGCUUAAAGCAUGUCGUGUCUGGUUUCCUCUUUGUGUCGCUGUGUUUGUUUUAUAACCUGCAGGACCCUGGACAAGAACCCUGAACAUCCGUAAGACCUGGAUGCUAUGUUUCACAGUUCAUUAUUUCAGAACAUUUACUCUUUUAUUGUUUUAUAUAUUGAUUCAUGGAGUAAAUAAUCCAUAUAUAUAU